GACGAACCACACAAACGUUAUUCGGAAUUACUGGGCUUAAAGGGUGCGUAGGCGGCGCGGAAAGUUGGGUGUGAAAUCCCUCGGCUCAACCGAGGAACUGCGCCCAAAACUACCGUGCUCGAGGGAGAUAGAGGUGAGCGGAACUUAGGGUGGAGCGGUGAAAUGCGUUGAUAUCCUAAGGAACACCCGUGGCGAAAGCGGCUCACUGGGUCUUCUCUGACGCUGAGGCACGAAAGCCAGGGGAGCGAACGGG
rnacentral:rRNA from 1 species